rnacentral:rRNA from 1 species
AACAUGUCUUUUUGAUUUUAAUUUAAAGUCUAAUCUGCCCACUGAUUUAUUAAAGGGCUGCAGUAAUUUGACUGUACAAAGGUAGCAUAAUCAUUAGCCUUUUAAUUGAAGGCUUGUAUGAAAGAUUUGAUGAAAUAUAAACUGUCUCUAAUUUAAAAUUAAAAUUUAAUUUUUUAGUUAAAAAGCUAAAAUAAUUUUAAAAGACGAGAAGACCCUAUAGAGUUUUAUAAUUAAUAAUUUUAAAUAAUUAUAUAAAAUUUUAAUAUUUAAUAUUAUUCAUUAUUUUAUUGGGGUGAUAAAAAAAUUUAAUUAACUUUUUUUCUUGUUUAUCAAAAAUAAAUGAUUAAUUGAUCCUGUUUAAAGAUUAAAAGAAAUAAUUACCUUAGGGAUAACAGCGUAAUAUUUUUUUUUAGUACAAAUAAAAAAAAAAGUUUGCGACCUCGAUGUUGGAUUAAGAUAAAAUUUAAAUGCAAAAGUUUAAAAUUUUGAUCUGUUCGAUCAUUAAAAUCUUACAUGAUCU